UACGUAGGGGGCAAGCGUUGUCCGGAAUCAUUGGGCGUAAAGCGCGUGUAGGCGGCUUGGUAAGUCUGCUCUGAAAGCCCGGGGCUCAACCCCGGGAGGCGGGUGGAUACUGUCAAGCUCGAGUCCGGAAGAGGAGUGUGGAAUUCCCGGUGUAGCGGUGAAAUGCGCAGAUAUCGGGAAGAACACCCGUGGCGAAGGCGGCUCUCUGGGACGGUACUGACGCUGAGACGCGAAAGCGUGGGGAGCGAACAGG
rnacentral:rRNA from 1 species